rnacentral:sRNA from 1 species
UGAUCGAUACCCCCGACGUUUGGAAUGA